AACGAACGCUGGCGGCAUGCCUAACACAUGCAAGUCGAACGAUUGCCUUCGGGUGAUAGUGGCGCACGGGUGCGUAAUGCGUGGGAAUCUGCCCUUAGGUUCGGAAUAACAGCUGGAAACGGCUGCUAAUACCGGAUGAUAUCGCGAGAUCAAAGAUUUAUCGCCUGAGGAUGAGCCCGCGUUGGAUUAGGUAGUUGGUGGGGUAAAGGCCUACCAAGCCGACGAUCCAUAGCUGGUCUGAGAGGAUGAUCAGCCACACUGGGACUGAGACACGGCCCAGACUCCUACGGGAAGCAGCAGUGGGGAAUAUUGGACAAUGGGCGCAAGCCUGAUCCAGCAAUGCCGCGUGAGUGAUGAAGGCCCUAGGGUUGUAAAGCUCUUUUACCCGGGAAGAUAAUGACUGUACCGGGAGAAUAAGCCCCGGCUAACUCCGUG
rnacentral:rRNA from 1 species